rnacentral:rRNA from 1 species
UUAAGCGACUAAGCGUACACGGUGGAUGCCCUGGCAGUCAGAGGCGAUGAAGGACGUGCUAAUCUGCGAUAAGCGUCGGUGAGGUGAUAUGAACCGUUAUAACCGGCGAUUUCCGAAUGGGGAAACCCAGUGUGUUUCGACACACUAUCAUUAACUGAAUCCAUAGGUUAAUGAGGCGAACCGGGGGGAACUGAAACAUCUAAGUACCCCGAGGAAAAGAAAUCAACCGAGAUUCCCCCAGUAGCGGCGAGCGAACGGGGAGGAGCCCAGAGCCUGAAUCAGUGUGUGUGUUAGUGGAAGCGUCUGGAAAGGCGCGCGAUACAGGGUGACAGCCCCGUACACAAAAAUGCACAUAUUGUGAGCUCGAUGAGUAGGGCGGGACACGUGGUAUCCUGUCUGAAUAUGGGGGGACCAUCCUCCAAGGCUAAAUACUCCUGACUGACCGAUAGUGAACCAGUACCGUGAGGGAAAGGCGAAAAGAACCCCGGCGAGGGGAGUGAAAAAGAACCUGAAACCGUGUACGUACAAGCAGUGGGAGCCUCUUAAUGGGGUGACUGCGUACCUUUUGUAUAAUGGGUCAGCGACUUAUAUUCUGUAGCAAGGUUAACCGAAUAGGGGAGCCGAAGGGAAACCGAGUCUUAACUGGGCGUUAAGUUGCAGGGUAUAGACCCGAAACCCGGUGAUCUAGCCAUGGGCAGGUUGAAGGUUGGGUAACACUAACUGGAGGACCGAACCGACUAAUGUUGAAAAAUUAGCGGAUGACUUGUGGCUGGGGGUGAAAGGCCAAUCAAACCGGGAGAUAGCUGGUUCUCCCCGAAAGCUAUUUAGGUAGCGCCUCGUGAAUUCAUCUCCGGGGGUAGAGCACUGUUUCGGCAAGGGGGUCAUCCCGACUUACCAACCCGAUGCAAACUGCGAAUACCGGAGAAUGUUAUCACGGGAGACACACGGCGGGUGCUAACGUCCGUCGUGAAGAGGGAAACAACCCAGACCGCCAGCUAAGGUCCCAAAGUCAUGGUUAAGUGGGAAACGAUGUGGGAAGGCCCAGACAGCCAGGAUGUUGGCUUAGAAGCAGCCAUCAUUUAAAGAAAGCGUAAUAGCUCACUGGUCGAGUCGGCCUGCGCGGAAGAUGUAACGGGGCUAAACCAUGCACCGAAGCUGCGGCAGCGACACUAUGUGUUGUUGGGUAGGGGAGCGUUCUGUAAGCCUGUGAAGGUGUACUGUGAGGUAUGCUGGAGGUAUCAGAAGUGCGAAUGCUGACAUAAGUAACGAUAAAGCGGGUGAAAAGCCCGCUCGCCGGAAGACCAAGGGUUCCUGUCCAACGUUAAUCGGGGCAGGGUGAGUCGACCCCUAAGGCGAGGCCGAAAGGCGUAGUCGAUGGGAAACAGGUUAAUAUUCCUGUACUUGGUGUUACUGCGAAGGGGGGACGGAGAAGGCUAUGUUGGCCGGGCGACGGUUGUCCCGGUUUAAGCGUGUAGGCUGGUUUUCCAGGCAAAUCCGGAAAAUCAAGGCUGAGGCGUGAUGACGAGGCACUACGGUGCUGAAGCGACAAAUGCCCUGCUUCCAGGAAAAGCCUCUAAGCAUCAGGUAACAUCAAAUCGUACCCCAAACCGACACAGGUGGUCAGGUAGAGAAUACCAAGGCGCUUGAGAGAACUCGGGUGAAGGAACUAGGCAAAAUGGUGCCGUAACUUCGGGAGAAGGCACGCUGAUAUGUAGGUGAAGCGACUUGCUCGUGGAGCUGAAAUCAGUCGAAGAUACCAGCUGGCUGCAACUGUUUAUUAAAAACACAGCACUGUGCAAACACGAAAGUGGACGUAUACGGUGUGACGCCUGCCCGGUGCCGGAAGGUUAAUUGAUGGGGUUAGCGGUAACGCGAAGCUCUUGAUCGAAGCCCCGGUAAACGGCGGCCGUAACUAUAACGGUCCUAAGGUAGCGAAAUUCCUUGUCGGGUAAGUUCCGACCUGCACGAAUGGCGUAAUGAUGGCCAGGCUGUCUCCACCCGAGACUCAGUGAAAUUGAACUCGCUGUGAAGAUGCAGUGUACCCGCGGCAAGACGGAAAGACCCCGUGAACCUUUACUAUAGCUUGACACUGAACAUUGAGCCUUGAUGUGUAGGAUAGGUGGGAGGCUUUGAAGUGUGGACGCCAGUCUGCAUGGAGCCGACCUUGAAAUACCACCCUUUAAUGUUUGAUGUUCUAACGUGGGCCCCUUACCGGGGUUGCGGACAGUGUCUGGUGGGUAGUUUGACUGGGGCGGUCUCCUCCUAAAGAGUAACGGAGGAGCACGAAGGUUGGCUAAUCCUGGUCGGACAUCAGGAGGUUAGUGCAAUGGCAUAAGCCAGCUUGACUGCGAGCGUGACGGCGCGAGCAGGUGCGAAAGCAGGUCAUAGUGAUCCGGUGGUUCUGAAUGGAAGGGCCAUCGCUCAACGGAUAAAAGGUACUCCGGGGAUAACAGGCUGAUACCGCCCAAGAGUUCAUAUCGACGGCGGUGUUUGGCACCUCGAUGUCGGCUCAUCACAUCCUGGGGCUGAAGUAGGUCCCAAGGGUAUGGCUGUUCGCCAUUUAAAGUGGUACGCGAGCUGGGUUUAGAACGUCGUGAGACAGUUCGGUCCCUAUCUGCCGUGGGCGCUGGAGAACUGAGGGGGGCUGCUCCUAGUACGAGAGGACCGGAGUGGACGCAUCACUGGUGUUCGGGUUGUCAUGCCAAUGGCACUGCCCGGUAGCUAAAUGCGGAAGAGAUAAGUGCUGAAAGCAUCUAAGCACGAAACUUGCCCCGAGAUGAGUUCUCCCUGACUCCUUGAGAGUCCUGAAGGAACGUUGAAGACGACGACGUUGAUAGGCCGGGUGUGUAAGCGCAGCGAUGCGUUGAGCUAACCGGUACUAAUGAACCGUGAGGCUUAACCU